rnacentral:rRNA from 1 species
UGGGGAAUAUUGGACAAUGGGCGAAAGCCUGAUCCAGCAAUGCCGCGUGAGUGAUGAAGGCCCUAGGGUUGUAAAGCUCUUUUACCCGGGAUGAUAAUGACAGUACCGGGAGAAUAAGCCCCGGCUAACUCCGUGCCAGCAGCCGCGGUAAUACGGAGGGGGCUAGCGUUGUUCGGAAUUACUGGGCGUAAAGCGCGCGUAGGCGGCUUUGCAAGUCAGAGGUGAAAGCCCGGGGCUCAACCCCGGAAUUGCCUUUGAGACUGCAUCGCUAGAAUUGUGGAGAGGUAAGUGGAAUUCCGAGUGUAGAGGUGAAAUUCGUAGAUAUUCGGAAGAACACCAGUGGCGAAGGCGACUUACUGGACACAUAUUGACGCUGAGGUGCGAAAGCGUGGGGAGCAAACA